rnacentral:lncRNA from 12 species
CACAACCACAAAGCAUAUAUAUAUGAAGCCACGUAUACUUAUAUACAUUAAUUUUCACAUUGUUUUGUCGAGGCUAUGAGUUUUCACAAGUUAGCAAGCACUGGUGGUGGUGAUAUAAAGAAAGUGACUGGGGGGCAGCAGUGAUUGGAAGUAGGAGCAUGAUUUUUGUUAUUUCCCUGGAACUAGAGUUGUAUCCAGAGUCUGUGACUGAGCAGAACAAAAGCACUGGCAAAAUGUGUUUCCGGAUGAUUUCUGAACAUGACCAUGACCGCCAACAUUCACUUGGCACUGUGUGAUGUCACAGUACAGAUGUUGCCACCCAGUGGGCAAAUAGGUCUUCUGAUAAGAGGGGAGGGGUUACAGUCAGAUUUCUAGGUUGGGAAGGUCCUUCCCUGUGGAGAUUUCCUAGCAUUUGGCAAGAUGAGACUCUCCCUUCAAAUAUAGAAGUAUUCCUGGCAGCAAUCCUCAGUGUGGGCUGCUCUGAGCAGCAGAGGAUGUUGUCAUGCGAGAAACAGAGAGCACAAGUCUCAGUUGAAAGUCUCCUGGAACUUUGAGAUUGGGCCAAGAUGCAUUUGCCAGUCAAAUUUGAGACCGUAGGACUAUGUUGUGUGAGGUACAGCACACAGGAAGCCUCUGUUCCUGCUACUGGCUUUGCUCUGGAGGCAAUCAGCUCCCCACUCUCGGCUCAAGUGGUGCUGGCCUGCACUGCAUCCAGGAGUUGUUACCAGUCCUUCUGGUUACGAGUUUUGCUUCUCUUCAAGUGGAUGUUGAAUAUAGGACAGAAUCUAUGCAAACUUAGGAGUGGACAAACAGGAAAGAAAAUGCCGAGGACUCUUAAACCUAUGGGGAAAAGCCCAAUCCACCUUACUCAUAACCGAAAUAUGAAUUUCCAAGGACGUGCAAAGGGAGGAAAAUCAAGGUUAAACAGAGACCUCAAAAGCUCU